rnacentral:lncRNA from 1 species
CUGCAAGUAACCCUGAGGAAAGGAGAAGAAGGGGAGGGAAAAUCACACAAGAAGCCUGGAAAGUGAGGAGGCAGUCUCAGAUCAGAUGCACUGUAGAGCCUAUGUCUAGAAGUGACUCUCCAGGGGAGCUAAAAUCCAUGUAUUUGGGCACACACUUGAACAAUAUUGCUAGAGAAAUUUAAGCAAGAACACAAAGAUUGCUGGAGGCCAGAAAGUAAGACAAAUAACAGCUCACCUGCCUGGGUUGUUGGAGCAACAAGAAACUUUAAGAGCAAUCCUCCAUUUGCCAGUUUCCUUGGUAAUUAGACUUGUCAAUAGAACAGAUUUCUGUGUCCAUAAUGCAUGAGGUUAAGUAAGGGGAAGAGAACUGGAAAGCUGAGCUGGAGUUUGAAAGACAAGAUGUAUUUCAAACUUCCCUUGAACUUUCUCCAGUAAGUAUAAUUGUGUGCUUGUCAACCCGGUCUUAGUCCUUGUCAUUACAGGUUCAGCAGCUGCAAAGGUGAAAUGUUUUGACAAAUACUGAACGUCAUCUAUUUCAUACUCUGGAUCAGCAUGGAUGUUUUUUAGCUUCUUCAGAUGGCUCUGUAAUGGAGUUAUAUUUGGAAGUUUCCCAGUAUGGUGCAAAAGCCUCAUAGUGAGAGGAAGUUUAUAAACUGCAGUUCUACGAGAAGAAGAAAGACCAGAUGCUCAUCCUGCAUGACUCCUCCUUGAGCCUUUGUAUUUUCCCAGCUAGACCUUUCAGGCUUCCUAUUUA